rnacentral:tRNA from 1 species
GCCGAGGUGGUGGAAUCGGUAGACACGCGGUCUUGAGGGGGCCGUGGACGAAAGUCCGUAGGAGUUCAAGUCUCCUCCUCGGCACCA